AGUUGCCAUGGAAACGGGAUAACAACACCAUCUGACAAACUUCUCUUGCUGCUGUUUUCACUGCUUUCAGAAGAGAAUCUCCAAAAUUUCAAAGUUUCUGAAGGGAACUGCUGACAGAAAUGCAGGAAACACAGAUUCUUCUAUGAUGAAGGCAGUUCAGCAGAGUUGGAGCAGACCUCCUGUUGGACAACAUCUCUAUAAGGCCCUAUGAACCAUAUAAGCAAAUCCUCAAACAUUCUGUUCAAAAGUUAGAGAUUAGUAUGAUUUUAUUUUUUUUUUUUAACCUUUUUUGGUAACACUUUACAGUAAGGGUACACAAAUUACCAUGAAUUAAUGCAUAAAUUAAUGUGUGAAUUAUGCAUUACUUCAUGCAUUAAUAUCUCAUGAAUUAUCAGGAACUAACAUGAGCUCAUAAUCUUUCAUUGAUGACUUCAAGGAUGAACAACACCUUAAUUAAGACAUUAAGUAAGUUCUCCAGGCAUUUUGGAUCCUUCAAUCCAGUCAUUUAAAUGUGGUGCUCUCUGAAGCAGUUCCUGUCUAACUGCAAGCAUAGUCCCACAUCACAUUCCUGGCACUUCCAUUGGGUGCUCCUUUUGCAUCGUAUGCAACUGUGUGAAAGGUCUUGAGUGUCACUCACAGGAACAGGCAGAUGAUCACAUCUCUCUCUUGGGCUGCCAUCCAGGGGAACACCUGUGAGCUGAGCAGCUAGCUGCUCCUGAAAGUUUUGCCAUGUCAUGUGCUUGUCAUGGUGGAUGGCACAGAACGCUUUGUGUAAAAUUAAGCAGUUGGUCACUGCAAUGUCCAGGAAGUGCUGGAAAAUUGUUAUGUACCACUUCUGUGUUUUACGGUGCACCGACUUUGUUCCGUAUUAGGGCGUAGCUUUGCUUUUGACCGUGGGGACAUAAACCCAAGUAAUAAACCCAAAAAUUUGUUUUUGUUUUUAUUUGUUACAAUUUAUUUGUUAUUAUGUCUUAUUCGUU
ensembl:lncRNA